CUGGGGAGCAGGGAUCGACUGCGACCGCACAUCUAAGAGAGGAGAUGCCGUGUGAUGCAGCCCUCUAUCCCCAGCGCUGUGAAGAGGAGACUGCCAACCCAAGGAUGGUACUGGGUUGGACUGGUCUGCUUGUGUGGAAGAAGAGCAGACCGUCACCUGCGGGC